rnacentral:lncRNA from 1 species
GUAUUUUAGCCUUAUCCCAAAUAAUUACUUCCCUUUCCGAAAUCGAAAGUGGAAGUGAAAUGUCAUCGUCAUGAGUCAAGCUAGAUUUGUAUCGUUUUGCUCAAGUAUUCCAUCGGAAAUAACAGACAAACAAGACGAUGAGUUUAUUGAAGAGCUACAUAUUGUCGACGAAUUGUAUUUUGCCCAAAUAGAAAGUUCCCAAAGUGAAAAUCUGAGCGAUGAUGACGGAGUCGGUGUAUGUUAUGUUAAGUGUUAACUAGUUACAUGUAUCUUCAAGACCUAUCUCUGCCUCGGGUCUUUUCUUCUUCUUCAUGAUUCAAAUAACGUGUUUGCGAGUUAAGCAAUUAACCAGUAAGAUAUUGUCACAUACUAGUAUGGAAGUAAAGAAAAAAAGAACAAACAAAAGAAAAAAAAAAAAAAAGGAGUUCCAUAAGGUAAUAGCUAAUAGAGAAUAAUAUAUCAUAAAACGCUUUCAAACAAGAGGAAAACUCAAUUAAACUGUCUUGCAUAUUGAACGACAGAUCGUAUACCUCUCUUUUCUCAAAGGAUAAUAAAUGCAACCAACCAAAAUCAAAACACUUACAAAUGUAACAUACAUGUAAUAAGAACAUAAUGUCUCUAUAACUACUUAAAAUCAGGAAACAUACAACAUUAAGAUAAAAAGGGGGUAUAAAUUAAAUUCCGUAGAUCUUUUUAAUAAUUUGUGUCAAAAUGUAUUGUAUAAAGGCAACAGUAGUAUACCACUGUUCAAUGGUCAUAAAUCGAUUUAACUGAAACAAAUCCGGAUAACAAACCAAAUACUGAUGGGAAUACAUCAAUUAUAAGAGAAACAACGGAACAACAGAAACACUGAACUUCUACAAAAACAAAUGCCAACAUACAUACAAACGAGUUAUUAAAUAGUAUGGAUCACCGUUUUUUUUUAUCAAGAUAUAGGUUGUGCAAAAUUACUUUGAUUUUGUAUAGAAUAUACCUGGAAAACCUACUUUUAUUGAUAAAAAGAAAACUACACCAUAUAAGUUUGAUAAACUAUGAAAAUAUAUCUCUAUUAACAUGCUUUCAGUUAAGAAAAUGAACAAAAUGGGGUCACCGGACUCGUUUUCUCGCUAUAUAAUAAAAUAGUUAAAUUCACACAACACAUUAUAUAAUGAAAGUUACUUUAUCUGAGUUUUCUCCUAAUACUGACAAAGUCGAAAAAAGGAAUAUUUUUAUGUUCUUAAUAAGAAUAAAAAGUAUUUAAUAUCAAUUACUUUAUAAGAUUUGGACCGAUUGGUAUCUUUUAUUUCAAAAUUUAAGAUGGACGAAGACAUCUAAGCUACCUGAAGACGAUUUGCAGUUUUGUAUUUUGCUAAACUUAUAAAAGUUAAUGAUUUGACAUUUUUAAGGUUGAUGGUGAUUAAUGUUUUUGUCCAUUUAGAGAAACUAUAAAUAUAUUGUAUUGUUAAUGCUGUAAAGUGAUAUUAUGUUUUUGUAUAUAAUCACGCCAUCAGUAUAAUAUAUUCGUCCUUGGUAAAUAGUUUGCAGAUGUGUUGUAUGAAAUGACGCAUUUGAUAAAUAUUUCGAUCAGAAUUUAGAACAUUAGCAUAGCUGACAUAUUUUCACAUUUAACUUAAAAUAGAAAUCCCGUGUUCUGUUAAAUUACAUCUUUGUUAAAUGAAACAGUUAGCCUAAAUAACCUUCUCAUAUUCAGACUGGUAAUGGGUAAAAAUAAAUCACACUUAUUUGCAAUUCAUGCUCUGUAAAUGCAUUGUCCCC